rnacentral:tRNA from 1 species
CGAGGUCAAGUGUAGAUGGGAACACGCCGCGCCUGGGACGCGGAGACUGUGGGUUCGACCCCCACGACCUCGA